CAAGGAAUUUUCUGCAAUGGGCGCAAGCCUGACAGAGCAACGCCGCGUGGGGGAUGACGCGCUUCGGUGUGUAAACCCCUUUUCCCUGGGACGAAGGCGAUGACGGUACCAGGGGAAGAAGGACCGGCUAACUCCGUGCCAGCAGCCGCGGUAAUACGGAGGGUGCGAGCGUUGUUCGGAAUUACUGGGCGUAAAGCGCGUGCAGGCGGUCUCUUAAGUCUGGUGUGAAAGCCCGGGGCUCACCCCCGGAAGGGCACUGGAGACUGGGAGGCUAGAGUACCGGAGAGGAAGGUGGAAUUCCUGGUGUAGCGGUGAAAUGCGUAGAUAUCAGGAGGAACACCGGUGGCGAAGGCGGCCUUCUGGACGGCUACUGACGCUGAGACGCGAAAGCGUGGGGAGCAAACA
rnacentral:rRNA from 1 species